UACGUAGGGUCCGAGCGUUGUCCGGAAUUACUGGGCGUAAAGAGCUCGUAGGUGGUUUGUCGCGUUGUCCGUGAAAACUCACAGCUCAACUGUGGGCGUGCGGGCGAUACGGGCAGACUGGAGUACUGCAGGGGAGACUGGAAUUCCUGGUGUAGCGGUGGAAUGCGCAGAUAUCAGGAGGAACACCGGUGGCGAAGGCGGUUCUCUGGGCAUGUCCUGACGCUGAGGAGCGAAAGUG
rnacentral:rRNA from 1 species